rnacentral:lncRNA from 1 species
AGACACAUGGCAUUGCCUGGCUCCAUCCCCCACCCUUCUCCAUGGCUCACAUCCUGGCCACAGCCUGGAAACAUCCACACAACCUUGUGGGACAACACCCAGCACUCUAUUUUGUGCAUCUAUGAAUCUAUUUUAGGUACCUCGUGUAAGUGACAUGAGACCAGUCAUGCUAAGCCUCACAACGGUGAUAUGCUCUGAGAAAUGCAUCAUUAGACAGUUUUGUCAUUGUGUGGACAUCAUAGAGUGUAUUCACACAAACCUAGGUUGUGUAGGUGCUGUUUGGUGCGUUUACGAACCUUGAGCUAGACACAGAAUGCUGAUUAGUACAUUUACAAUCCUUUAGCUAGACACAACAGUUCUCCAAGUCCCCACUGGACUCAGAAGCCCAGCUGGCGUCCCCUAGUGGAUCCCGCACCAGGGCCGCGGGCAGAGCUACCCGCCAGUCCUGCGCCGCACGCCGGCACUCCUCAGCCCUUGGGCGGUCAAUCGGACAGGUCGCUGCGGAGCAGGGGGCAGCGCCCUUCAGGAGCGGGGGUGGUGCCAGCUCGGGCAUGGCGGGCUGCAAGUUCCGAGCCCUGCCCCGUGGGGAAGCGGCUCAGGCCCGGCGAGAAUUCGAGCGCAGCGCAGACGGGCCAGCAGUGAUAGGGAACCCAGCUCACCCUCCACAGCUGCUGGCCCAGGUGCUAAGCCCCGCCUUAACUGGGGCCGGCAGCACCCACCAAGCCCGCGCCUACCCGGAACUCUGCCC